CUAGGUCUUCUGACCUCAUUCAUUUGACGGAUGGCAAUCCUCUUCUAUUCUUCUCCAGAGAGCCUCGUCUCGGUUGAACAGGACAUCACACCAGAAUGAACCAGGAGUCGCCCGAGUCCGGUGGAGACCGCGCACAGGAUGCAUCCGACUUCAACUGGGAUGACUA